rnacentral:rRNA from 1 species
UACGUAGGGGGCAAGCGUUGUCCGGAUUUAUUGGGCGUAAAGAGCGUGUAGGCGGCUUUGCAAGUCCGUUGUGAAACUCGAGGCUCAACCUCGAGAUGUCGGCGGAAACCGUCUGGCUAGAGUCCGGAAGAGGAGAGUGGAAUUCCUGGUGUAGCGGUGAAAUGCGCAGAUAUCAGGAGGAACACCAAUGGCGAAGGCAGCAU